rnacentral:lncRNA from 1 species
ACUUUACGGCGAGAUUAAGCUCAGGGUCAAGUUCUGAGCAAAAAGUGUCAAGGAGCCUUUUUGCAACCUCCUAUAAUAUUGAAACAGAUUCUGUGCCCUUUAAAGGAGAUAAUAACUAACAUCUGGGGAGCGCUUUACAAUUUAGAAAAGGCCUUUCACACACAGGCCUGUUUCAUCUUCACAACAAUCUUAUAAAACAGAUAUAUUGUUCCCAUUUCCCAAAUAAUGAAACGGAAGCGCCGAAAAUAUCUCCUAUAGGGCUCUUCAAACUGUGGUCAACUUAGUAAAUGAUGUUGACAGUGGAAGUGUGAUCAUUUUAUUUUCCUGCCUUUGGAAUUGAAGAUUGUAAUUUUGCAAAAAUUUUGUUGAAGAUGAUGUAGCUUUGGUUCAGAGAGCUGGAGUACAAUGGCACCAUCUCAGCUCGCCGCAACCUCCACCUCCUGGGUUCAAGCGAUUCUCCUGCCUCAGCCUCCCGAGUAGCUGGGAUUACAGGUUCCAAGUCUCUUCUUCGGCCUCUCAAACAUGGUACCAUCCCUAAUGAAGUCAACGGGUCCAGCAUGACAGGAUGGAAGUACAAGUGUCAGCACCUAUGUGAGUCCCAAGAGGGGAAAUUAGAAACAAAAAGGAAGAAGAGGACAUAGGCCAGGCACGGCGGCUCACGCCUGUAAUCCCAACACUUUGGGAGGCCAAGGUGGGCAGAUCACCUGAGGUCAGGAGUUCAAGACCAGCCUGGUCAACAUGGCAAAAGCCCAUCUCUACUAAAAAAUACAAAAAAUUAGCCAGGCGUGGUGGUGGGAGCCUGUAAUCCCACCUACUCGGGAGGCUGAGGCAGGAGAAUUGCUUCAAUCUGGGAGGCAGAGGUUGCAGUGAGCUGAGAUCGUGCCAUUGCACUCCAGCCUGGGCGACAGAGUAAGACUCUGUCUCAGAAAAAAAAAAAAAAAAAGGAAAAAAAAAGAUGAUAUAGUCAAAGAAAUAACAUUAAAUUUCUUAUAAUUUAAGAUGAAUGAUUUCAGAUUGAAAAGUUUAUAAAGGUGCCAAAGAGAAAAGGAAAGAUCCACACUAGAUACAUUAGAAUGAAAUGUCAAAGUAACAUACAUAAAGAAGAAAUUCUGAAAUCUUCUAGAAAGAAAGAACAUGUUAUCUAUGAAGGAACAAGGAUCAUAUUGAUAUUAGAUUUCUCAACAGCACAUGUGCUGCAAGAAGACAAAGGAGUAAUAUUAAGUAUUGUGAAACAAACCUAGAGCUUAGAAUUUCAUAUUUAAAAUUCUAAAUAAAUUAUCAUUCAAAUUGUUAUAGUUUGGGGGCCAGGUGUGGUGGCUCAUGCCUAUAAUCCCAGCACUUUGGGAGACUAAGGCGGGCAGAUCACUUGAGCUCAGGAGUUUGAGACGAGCCUGGCAAACACGGCAAAACCCCAUCUCAAAAUACAAAAAUUAGCUAGAUGUGGUGGUGCAUGCCCAUAAUCCUAGCUACUUGGGAGGCUGAGGCACGAGAAUUGCUUGAACUUGGGAGGCGGAGGUUGCAGUGAGCCAAGAUCGUGCCAUUGCACUCCAGCCUGGGCGACAGAGUGAGACUCGGUCUCAUAUAUAUAUGAGACUGACAAAUUGAUACAGUUUGGAUAUAUGUCCCUGCCCCAGUCUCAUGUUGAACUGUAAUCUGCAAUGUUGGAGGUGGGGCCUGGUGGGAGGUGGUUGGAUCAUGGGGGCAGAUUUCCAUGAAUGGUUUAACACCAUCUUCCUGGUUUGUCCUCAUGACAGUGAGUGAGUUCUUGAGAGAACUCAUCAUUUAAAAAUGUGUGGCACUUCCUCUCUUUCUCUCUUGCUCCUGCUCUGGGUAUGUGACGUGCCUGCUCCCCCUUUGCCUACUGCCAUAAUUCAGAGUUUCCUGAGGCCUCCCAAGAAGAUAAGCCGAUGCCAGCACCAUGCUUCCUGUAAGCUGGCAGAACCAUGAGUAAAUUAAACCUCUUUUUUAAAUAAGUUACCCAAUCUCAGGUAUUUUUUAUAGCAAUGUGAGAAUGUGCUAGCACACAAAUAUGUUACCACUUAAAUUAUCAUUCAAAUAUAAAAGCAUAGUAAAGCUGACAUUAAGCCUCAAGCAUACAAGUUCACAGAAAAUUUGUCACACAAGGACCCACAUUAUAAGAGAAGCAGAAAUUCAUACUGCUUUAAGAGAUAUCAGAGGCUGGGUGUGGUGGCCCAUGCCUAUAAUGCCAGCACUUUGGGAAGCCAAGGCAGGAGGAUCGUUUGAGCCCAGGAGUUCAAGACCAGCCUGGGCAACAUAGUGAGCCCUUGUCUCUAUAAAAAAUAAAAAAAUUAGCCAUGGCCCUGGUGUGGUGGCUCACGCCUGUAAUCCUAGCACUUUGAGAGGCCGAGGGGGGUGGAUCACUUGAGGAUAGGAGUUCAAAAUCAGCCUGGCCAACAUGGUGAAACCCCAUCUGUACUAAAAAUACAAAAAAUUAGCCAGGUGUGCCGAUGCACGUCUGUAAUCCCAGCUACUUGUGAGGCUGAGGGAGGAGAAUCGCUUGAACCCAGGAGGCAGAGGUUGCAGUGAGCUGAGAUCACACCACUGCACUCCAAUCUGUGUGACAGAGUGAGACUCUGUUUCAAAAAAAGAAACAACCACAUGUGGUGGCAUGCGCCUAUGGUCACAGAUACUUGGGAGGCUUAGGUUGGAGGAUGGCUUGGACCUGGGAAGUUGAGGCUGCAGCAAGCUAUGAUUGUGCCACUGCACUCCAACCUAGGCAACAGAGUGAGACCCUGUCUCAAAAGAAAAAAGAGAGAGGGAGCAAUAUCAGAAGGUAUCAAACAUGUAAGUAAAAUCCAAAUAAAAGAACCAAAGAAAAGAGAAAUAGAAACUAUUUCAAUUACAACUCAGAACUAAAUUCCUAGAAAAUAUUAAUAUGACAUGAAAGCAUGCUAAUAUAUUUAUUUUGCACGAGUAAUAAUAUGGAUUUGACAACUUUAAAAUAGGGAGAAAAUAAAUAAGCUUAUGGUGUUAUCAAUCAGGAGACAGAAAUUAUACCAAUAAUUUAUCAGGAAUUUUUUUUUUUUUUUUUUUUGAGACAGAGUCUCACUCUUGUUGCCCAGGCUGGAGUGCAAUGGUGCGAUCUCAGAUCACUACAACCUCUGCAGCUCUGGUUCAAAGUCAUUCUCCUGCCUCAGCCUCCCAAGUAGCUGGGAUUACAGGUGCCUGCCACCACCACAUGUGGCUAAUAUUUUGUAUUUUUAGUAGAGACAGGGUUUCACCACAUUGGCCAGGCUGGUCUCAAACUCCCGACCUCAGGUGAUCCACCCGCCUUGGCCUCCCAAAGUGCUGGGCUUACAGGCAUGAGCCACUGCACCCAGCAGGAAAAAUUUAAUAUAAAGGUUACUAACUAAUAAAACAUGGUUAACUAUUAAGACAGAUAAAGGAUAACUCUAAAGAAUACCAGAACCUGGGCACAAGGGCUCAUGCCUGUAAUUCCAGCACUUUAGGAGGCCAAGGUAGGAGGAUCACUUGAGCCCAGGUGUUCAAGAACAGCUUAGGCAACAUAGUGAGACCCCAUCUCUACAAAAAAUUAAAAAACAGCCAGGCAUAGUGGUACAUACCUGUAGUCUCAGCUCCUCAGGAGGCUGAGGUUAGAGGAUAGUUUGAACCUAGGAGGUUGAGGCUGCAGUGAAUCAUGAUUGUAUCACUGCACUCCAGCUUGGGUAACAGAGUGAGACCGUUUCUAAAAAUUAAAAAAAAAAAAAAAAGGCAGCUGGAUGCAGUGGCUAGCACCUGUAAUCCCAGCUACUUGGGAGGCUGAGGCAGGAGGAUCACUUGAGGUCAGGAGUUGGAGACCAUCCUGGGCAACUUAGCAAGAUCCCUAUCUCUUAAAAAAAAAAAAAAAAGGAAGAAGAAGAAAAAGCAAAUGUAAACAGCAUGACUACCUCUAAGGCUGAGGGAGAACAUCCAAGGGAGUAACAGACUUGGAAGAGAUCUCAACCCUGAGGCUAAAAUUCAGACCCCCUUGGAGAGGACGGGGCUGUAGCUAGAUGGCAGAGAAAUUAUAUGUGUAAAUGACAGAGGAAUUCACUGGAGUGCUGCAGAUAGAGGUGGUGGUGCAGCUGCAGGUGGGGAUGGUGAGCUGGAAGCCAUCUACUGGGGUGAGGUGGAAGCUUAUUGGAGAGUGAGUGCCAAUGGAACUCCAUAGGUGACACCAUAAGAACAAAAUCUACAACAAGGAGAUCUAGGAAGGGCAGCUACUGCCUCUCUGCUAUGCCUGCAGUGUCUCUCUAGUGCCCUCUGCUGAUAAGCCUAACAUUGCACCAGCUGGCAAAUGAGAAAUGUUCAUGGGAUCCAGAUCCAGAUCAGUUAACUCCAAACAAGAAAAAGAAAGAUUGCUUUGGACUAAGGAGCAAUAAAUUGAUAACUGGCACAGUGUUACCCUCCCUUUUUUGUUUUUGUUUUUCCAUUCACGGCUAUACUGUCAAUAUCCAUUCAUGCUCUAUAUGUAUGAUUAUUGGACAUUCUAUUUUUAUACACUCCCUGGUUUUCUUUUCCUUUCAUUGUUUUGGGGCUAUUUUAUAGCUCUGAAAGUUGUAGAAAACUAAUAACAAUGUAAAAGAUUUUUAGUUCAUAGAAAUGAAAAUUAUUUGUGUCUGGUGGAAUAUAGUAGAUUAACCACCCUGUGGUUAGACCAUUUUCCAUCUUUUAAAUAAAUGCAUUCUAGCAUUCCUUGUUGCCUAUUUAUGUGUGUUUUUUUGAAUUAUCCUUUGAUCUAGUUGUAACAUCUUACUGGUUCCCUCAUUAAUUAAUGAGGUAAAUAAAACCUAUCACACAUAUUCAUUUUGUAUUUGUAUGUGAGUUAUAAUUCACCUUCUAAAAAAUUAUACUUGAAAUAAGACAAUCACAAAAUGGCAAAUAUUGUAUGAUUCCACUUGUAUGAGGUGCCUGGCAUAGUCAGAUUCAUACAGACAGAAAGUAGAACAGUGGUUGUCAGGGCCUGGAGGGCAGGAAGGAAAGAAUGCGGAGUUAUUGCUUAAUGGGUACAGGAUUUCAGUUUGGGAGGAUGAAAAUGUUCUAGAGAUGGGUGGUGGUGAUGGUUGCACAACAAUAUGAAUGUACUUCAUGCCAAUGAACUGUACACUUAAAAAUGAUUAAAAU